rnacentral:tRNA from 90 species
UGGGGCGUCGCCAAGUGGUAAGGCAACGGGUUUUGGUCCCGCUAUUCGGAGGUUCGAAUCCUUCCGUCCCAG